UGAGGAAUAUUGGUCAAUGGACGCAAGUCUGAACCAGCCAUGCCGCGUGCAGGAAGACGGCUCUAUGAGUUGUAAACUGCUUUUGUACUAGGGUAAACGCUUCUACGUGUAGGAGCCUGAAAGUAUAGUACGAAUAAGGAUCGGCUAACUCCGUGCCAGCAGCCGCGGUAAUACGGAGGAUCCAAGCGUUAUCCGGAUUUAUUGGGUUUAAAGGGUGCGUAGGCGGUUUGAUAAGUUAGAGGUGAAAUACCGGGGCUCAACUCCGGAACUGCCUCUAAUACUGUUGAACUAGAGAGUAGUUGCGGUAGGCGGAAUGUAUGGUGUAGCGGUGAAAUGCUUAGAGAUCAUACAGAACACCGAUUGCGAAGGCAGCUUACCAAACUAUAUCUGACGUUGAGGCACGAAAGCGUGGGGGAGCAAACAGGAUUAGAUACC
rnacentral:rRNA from 1 species